rnacentral:rRNA from 1 species
CACGUAGGGCGCGAGCGUUGUCCGGAAUUAUUGGGCGUAAAGAGCUCGUAGGCGGCCUGUUGCGUCCGCUGUGAAAGCCCGGGGCUUAACCCCGGGUCGGCAGUGGAUACGGGCAGGCUAGAGGUAGGUAGGGGAGAAUGGAAUUCCCGGUGUAGCGGUGAAAUGCGCAGAUAUCAGGAGGAAUACCGGUGGUGUAGACGGCUCUCUGGACCGCAACUGACGCUGAGACACGAAAGCGUGGGUAGCAAACAGG